rnacentral:rRNA from 1 species
GAUGAACGCUGGCGGCGUGCUUAACACAUGCAAGUCGAACGAUUGAAGCUGGAGCUUGCUCCGGCCGAUUUAGUGGCGGACGGGUGAGUAACGCGUGGGUAACCUGCCUCAUACAGGGGGAUAGCAGUUGGAAACGACUGGUAAAACCGCAUAAGCGCACGGUGUCGCAUGACACAGUGUGAAAACACUCCGGUGGUAUGAGAUGGACCCGCGUCUGAUUAGCUAGUUGGUGAGGUAACGGCCCACCAAGGCGACGAUCAGUAGCCGGCCUGAGAGGGUGAACGGCCACAUUGGGACUGAGACACGGCCCAAACUCCUACGGGAGGCAGCAGCGGGGAAUAUUGCACAAUGGGGGAAACCCUGAUGCAGCGACGCCGCGUGAGUGAUGAAGUAUUUCGGUAUGUAAAGCUCUAUCAGCAGGGAAGAUAAUGACGGUACCUGACUAAGAAGCACCGGCUAAAU